AAGGCCUUAGCUUAAUAAAAGUAUCUGAUUUGCAUUCAGGAGAUGUGAGUUAAUGUCUUGCAGGCCUUA
rnacentral:tRNA from 1 species